rnacentral:tRNA from 1 species
GGAUAUAGCUCAGUUGGUAAAGCGCUUACCUUGCAUGCACAUAGGCCCUGGGUUCGAUCCCCAGCACCA